GAUGAACGCUGGCGGCGUGCUUAACACAUGCAAGUCGAACGAUGAAGCCCAGCUUGCUGGGUGGAUUAGUGGCGAACGGGUGAGUAACACGUGAGUAACCUGCCCUUAACUCUGGGAUAAGCCUGGGAAACUGGGUCUAAUACCGGAUAGGAGCGUCCACCGCAUGGUGGGUGUUGGAAAGAUUUAUCGGUUUUGGAUGGACUCGCGGCCUAUCAGCUUGUUGGUGAGGUAAUGGCUCACCAAGGCGACGACGGGUAGCCGGCCUGAGAGGGUGACCGGCCACACUGGGACUGAGACACGGCCCAGACUCAUACGGGAGGCAGCAGUGGGGAAUAUUGCACAAUGGGCGCAAGCCUGAUGCAGCGACGCCGCGUGAGGGAUGACGGCCUUCGGGUUGUAAACCUCUUUCAGUAGGGAAGAAGCGAAAGUGACGGUACCUGCAGAAGAAGCACCGGCUAACUACGUG
rnacentral:rRNA from 1 species